UACGGAGGGGACUAGCGUUGUUCGGAAUUACUGGGCGUAAAGCGCACGUAGGCGGAUUUGUAAGUAAGUGGUGAAAUCCCGGGGCUCAACCUCGGAACUGCCUUUGAUACUGCAAAUCUCGAGUCCGGUAGAGGUGAGUGGAAUUCCUGGUGUAGCGGUGAAAUGCGCAGAUAUCAGGAGUAACACCGGUGGCGAAGGCAGGUCUCUGGGCCGAAACUGACGCUGAGGAGCGAAAGCGUGGGGAGCAAACAGG
rnacentral:rRNA from 1 species